CACAGGGGGUCUUCUCUCUUGGCUUUGGAGCUCCCCAUUCCUCUGUGUCUGUAACAGGGGAGCUUCUUCCUUCUUUCUUCUCCCUUCUUUCUUGCCUGUUAAACUCUCUGCUUCUUAAAACCACUCCAUGUAUGUCCAGGUCAUUUUAUCUAAUUUGGAGACGGAGAACCCUGGUGUUCCUCUGCUCAUCAGAGCCGUCUCACCUGCAAGGGCCAGGAUCCAGCACUAGGGCUGCCCUUUAUGUUCAUGCAGCCUCCACUAGGAAGAUCCUCCUUAGCUGCCACCUGCUGUAAAGGGAUCUAUCUAUCUAUCUGUCUAUCUAUCUAUCUAUCUAUCUUUCUAUCUACCUGUCGAGAGAGAGAGAGGUUUAUUAUAAGGAAUUGACUCAUGUGAUUAUGGAGGCUGAGAAGUUCCACAGUCUGCUGUCUGCAAGCUGGAGACCCAGGAAGGCUGCUGGUGCCGUUCCAGUUUGAUUCUGAAGGCCUGAGAACCAGAACUGAUGGUAUGAGUUCUAGUCCAAGUCCACAGAAAUGAAACUGGAGAACCAAAGGUGUAAGUCGCAGUCUGAGGGCAGGAGAACACAAUAACCCAGCUCAAGCAAUUAGGCAGAGAGAAAGAAUUUUCUCUCCCUCCACUUUUUGUUGUUGUUGUUCUACUGAGGCCUUCAAUGGAUUGAAGGAGUUCCACUCAUUAAGUCAAUUAACUUCUGAAGUCUAUUAUUGUCAUUGCCUCCCCAGGUAGGGGAAAUGAGAAGCCUGGGGAUAUGGCUUACAGUGAAGUGUGGCUGGUCCUUUUUUAUUCUCUUGGCCAGGCUCCUUCCCUCUGCCAAGUUGCAGGUGGUCCAGGUGUUUGCUUCCAGAUGUUUAGCAAACAUCUGGUGGAAGGCAAAGAAGGAAAGAUUGCUUAGGGGGACUCUUGCUCCCGUUCCUACCUGCAUCUUCUGAGAGGUCUUCCCCCUUUACAUUCACCUCAGCUCAACAUUGGAAUCCCUGCUCUUUCACUGCACACACUGACCACCCACUGCAGGCUGGGGGUCCUAGAGGAUUUCACGUGCUAGGCUGUCCCAAAUAGAGGAGGUCCUGCUACAGCACCGGCACCAUUAGUCCUUUCUGGGCCGUGCUCUGUGAGCCCUUGAGAGGACAAGAAACCAAUGUCAAAGCCAUGGAAUGAUCCCAUUCAAUUCUCAUCAAGGAAUAGAGAAGACAUAAAAUUCAGCAAAUGGAGGAGGUAAAUUUGCUUAUUAAAGGUAUUUGUGAUGAGUGGAGUAGACAUAAACACACACACACACACACACACACACACACACACAGCUGAGCUUUAACUGGAAAUUACCGAGCAAAAAAGGGCAGGACAGCACCACGUGAGAGGGAGGCCAGUGGCACAGAGGGCUUUGUCCUGACACGCACACAGGUAACAGGACCUCGG
ensembl:lncRNA ETS2-AS1 ETS2 antisense RNA 1